GACCAGCGCCGCGCAGCCGGCCGAGAUGAGCUUGCCACCACAGAGUACCUGCGACCGCACAUACCACCAGGAAAAUACAUUGGUUAGUGUCUUACCAUGUAUGCCUCACGCCCUUAUGUCCAGAGUAAAAGAUUUGAACUUUUUCGCUUUUUCGCCGCGUGCCUUGGGGAACUCGAGGUGGAGGAUUAUUAUUCUAUGAUUGUGGACCUGCCUGCAAUUUUCCUAAGGGCCAGUGUCACAAGGGCAAUGCAGAAACUUUGGUCAACGUGUGUCUUGGAAUAUAAAUUCAGAAAUCUGUAUGAAUUGGAUUUCAUCAUGGUCGACCACGAGGUGCAAUACCCAACACAUAUUUUCAUGAUGCAUGUUUAGUUAACACACUUAUUGUUGCACAACAUGGGGUAUUGAUAUAUUUCUGCAGUAUCCUAAGAUGUAUCUCUGAUUUUUAAAAUCGAUAUAGUCCAUUAAUUACCAGAGCACUAGCUGUUGGUUAGCUUAUUUGUUUCCUCUUUUAUCUUCUCAGGGAGGAACCAAUUGCGGUAAAUAGUGUGUUGAUUUUUCCCCUCCCAAGCUCAUCACAGUGCAUAUUAGCACGAGUGCGUAAAUUUUAGAGGUACACUAUUAUGGAAAAAAAUGAAAGACCAACAACUACUUGGUUCUCUGCAUUUGCACAAUAUUCAGUCUCAGCGAGUCAUUUUAGGCAGAUAGGCCACACUGCUAGCAGGACUUAUUUGUAAGGUUAACACAUUACAUUCUCAGGCAUCCCGUAUGCGUGCUUUAAAAUAUCCAUGCGGCUACCAAAAUUCAUUCAAUAAGGAAUCCUUGGUUGCUAUACUGUUCGUUGCUGACAGACUUAUCUGCUUUCACAAUACAAAUUUUGCCUUGGUCAGUACUGCAGGGAAACACAAUGAAAGGUUAUGUGCCAACCACUUUCAUCGGUCAGUUUAGAGAGCAGCUAGAGGAGAGAUCAACAUGUACACUUGACAUGUUUAUCGUCACCGAUGCGAAAGACAAACAUAUAAGCAGACCAUCCAUGCGAGAUACAGAAGCUAUGCCCACUAAGGGUAUCAUAGAAACAAUUCAUUUAGACAUAGGCAUGGUAACUAUACAUGACAGCCACUGUAACAACAGUGUAGCAUAGUAAUCACCUAUGUAGCUGCAUGCGAAAGGAUUACAAUAGGUUCCAACUGUUGCAUGCCAGCUUCUGCUUGCUCUUUCUGUGUACGGUCUACUCACUUUGUGGGUGUUGUAUGUAGGUACCUGAUAAAUGUUCAGUUGUGUUUUUCUUCAGAGUUUGUAACUA